AGCUGAUGCACAUGGCGGUCUCCUCCCAGUGCCGCCGCAACAGCUGUUCCCCUCUGGAGGUUAAAUAACCUUCACACUUCAUGGGCCUCGGUUCUUCCGACGGCCCAUUUUU
rnacentral:sRNA from 1 species